UACGUAGGGUGCAAGCGUUGUCCGGAAUUAUUGGGCGUAAAGAGCUCGUAGGCGGUCUGUCACGUCGGAUGUGAAAAUCCAGGGCUUAACCCUGGACCUGCAUUCGAUACGGGCAGACUAGAGUUCGGUAGGGGAGACUGGAAUUCCUGGUGUAGCGGUGAAAUGCGCAGAGAUUAGGAAGAACACCAGUGGCGAAGGCGACUCACUGGACUGGUACUGACGCUGAGGCGCGAAAGCGUGGGGAGCAAACAGG
rnacentral:rRNA from 1 species